GAGCUUUGUGAUAUCAUCAACAUGAAUCCUGGACAAGCAAAGGAUGCUCUUAAGAUUAUCAAGAAACGCUUGGGGAGUAAAAAUCCAAAAAUACAGCUCCUUACACUAUUCGUUCUUGAGACUCUGAGCAAAAAUUGUGGAGAGAAUGUAUUUCAGCAAAUUGUGGAGCGUGAGAUUUUACGAGACAUGGUCAAAAUUGUGAAGAAGAAGCCUGAUUUAAAUGUGAGGGAGAAGAUUUUGAUUUUGAUAGAUUCAUGGCAAGAAGCUUUGGGAGGGCCAGGGGGACGAUUUCCCCAGUAUUACGCUGCAUAUAAUGAGCUGAAGGCUGCAGGUGUAGAGUUUCCACCUCGAGAGGAAAACAGUGUACCUUUAUUUACACCACCACAAACCCAUCCAAUAGUCCACACGCCUUCCGCUUAUGAGGAGGCUGCAGUUGAGGCCUCUCUUGAGUCUGAUCCCUCUGGACUCAGUGUCGCGGAGAUUCAAAGUGCCGAGGGGCUAUCAGAUGUCCUCACGGAGAUGCUUGGUGCCUUGGAUCCAAAGAACCCUCAGUCCGUGAAGGAGGAGGUGAUAGUCGAUCUUGUUGAACAGUGUCGGUCUUACCAAAAGCGUGUGAUGAUUCUUGUGAACAACACAGUAGACGAGGAUCUGCUGUGUAAAGGAUUGGCACUCAAUGACAAUCUGCAGCGAGUUCUUCGUAGACAUGACGAUAUUGCCAAAGGAACCUCAACAAUUACUGUACCACCCAGAGAAACUCCUGUUGCACCCCUUAUGAAUGUGAAUCAUGAGGAUGAUGAGUCAGAAGAUGAUUUCUCUCACUUAUCACGGAGAACUUCAAGAGAUCCAUCACAGGGACAGGGGCGGAAGACUAUUGAUGUGAAGAGUGAGCCAAUGCGAAUUACUCCAACUCUUCCUCCUCCACCUUCAUCAAGGAGACCAGUUUUUACGGAUGGGAAAAUGGUUGAUUAUCUCAGCGGUGACAGGUUUGAAUCUGAAAGAUCAAUGGGAACAGAAGGAUCAUCACCUAUUGCUGCUUCAACUAAUUCAAACAAUGCGAGUUUCAUCCCAUGGUCAAGUCCCAAGCCAUCUUCAUCUGCACCCCCUCCAGAUGAUUUGCUAAAUCCAACUGCUGAUGAGAACUUCUUGAACCCCACUGCAUCUAUGUUUACUGGAAAAAACAACCAGAAUGAAUCCAAUUCAAAAGCCAAAUCUGCUGAUAACUUGCCUCCAGCACCUUGGGAUGCUCCUCCUCCUACCGCAAUCCCUCCACCACCAGCCAGAUAUGAUCAGAGACAGCAGUACUUUGAGAAACAUGUUUCUGGUGGCUCCCCUCCCGCAAGAACCGGAUCGAGUUCCUAUGACAGCAUAGUUGGACAAACAAAGAAUCUCUCUAUUAAUUCUUCUUCACCAUCCAAACCAGAGAAACCUGAGGACGCACUCUUCAAAGAUCUUGUUGAUUUUGCAAAAGCCAAGUCUUCCUCAUCUUCAAACCAAUCCAAUAGAUCAUUUUGAGUGAUUUCAAUGAAUAUGAAUAAUGUGUGGUGGGGUGUAUAUCUACUUUUUCUUCUUGUAGCAAUAAAUAUUAGAGAGGACUGAGUUUUAUGGAUUACUGGUGCUGCUUCUUCUGCUUUAUUUUCUGUUCGGCUUUCAGCCUUUAGGUGAGUGAUAGUGUAGCUGACAUGACAUUUAUAUCUUGGAUCAUAUAAGAUGGUUAAUAUUUCUGUUUUUU
rnacentral:misc_RNA from 1 species